GUCCACGCCGUAAACGAUGUGUGCUAGUUGUCGGGCUCUUAGAGUUCGGUGACGGAGCGAAAGUAUUAAGCACACCGCCUGGGGAGUACGGCCGCAAGGUUAAAACUCAAAGGAAUUGACGGGGACCCGCACAAGCGGUGGAGCAUGUUCCUUAAUUCGAAGCAACGCGAAGAACCUUACCCACUCUUGACAUCUUUCUUGGGACUUUCAGAGAUGAUUGUCUUCGGUUCGGCCGGGGAAAUG
rnacentral:rRNA from 1 species